AGCAAUACUGUCAGUGGCGGACGGGUGGAGUAACGCGUAGGAAUCUAUCCUUGGAAUGGGGGACAACCGUGGGAAACUACGGCUAAUACCGCAUGAUGCCUGAGGGCCAAAGACGAAAGUCGUUUGAGGAGGAGCCUGCGUCUGAUUAGGUAGUUGGUGGGGUAAAGGCCUACCCAAGCCUACGAUCAGUAGCUGGUCUGAGAGGAUGAUCAGCCACAUUGGGACUGAGACACGGCCCAAACUCCUACGGGAGGCAGCAGUGGGGAAUAUUGGACAAUGGGCGCAAGCCUGAUCCAGCAAUGCCGCGUGGGUGAAGAAGGUCUUCGGAUUGUAAAGCCCUUUUGGCGGGGACGAUGAUGACGGUACCCGCAGAAUAAGCUCCGGCUAACUUCGUG
rnacentral:rRNA from 1 species